AGGCCGGUGAAACGUUUGUUCGUGUUGUUGCGGACGGUGCGAACGAUGAGGACCUCGAUGAAGUCGGAAGUGCCGGUAAGCAGGAAUUCGGAUCAGCGUCAUGCGGCGAUGAUUCGGAAUCAUUGUAGCAUGCCAGUUCCAAAGCCGGUGGCAAGGGUUCGAUGCUAGGAACGGAGGACGAAUCAGAUCGCGAAGCAAUGCUAAUAUUGGGGUACUUGCCUGGCGAGGCACGGUGGAAGCCCCGUUCCUCAGUCUCAACUACAGGACCAGGACGGCUGAGUUGACGCUGGCAGCAGGGAUUGGAUUGGAUUGUUAAAUGAAUAAAAUAUUGCUAUUUUUCUGAGUGUAUCGUGAUUUUAUUUGAUUCCAAUACCAUUAUUUUGAUGGUUAAAUUAACAAAACAGUUUUCAUUUUUAUGGAUAGAAUGACAGUUCAAUCGAUAAAGUGACAGUUCGACCCGAACAAAAAAAAUUCCCCAUACAAACUUUAAAUGCAUUUUAAAAACAGUUCCCGAACUCCAAAAAUUAUGAAAUUUUGGAUUUCAACUAAUUUUUGGGCGGAGAAUCCGAUUAUAAAAUAAUCCGGAUACCCCUAAAGAACCCAAUUCCCACUCUCUGUAGCAACUUUACCUAAACAUUGACACUCUCAAAUUGAAAAUUAUCCAUUAAGCCACUUUUUCAUGACCGCCGCUUCUAUGAGAUCUAAUGUGAGGCAAGCGUUUUGCACCAAUAUCCCUCGUAAAAAGGUAAACAUUCAAAUUUCACGACUGUGUUGGUGAAUAUUUUGGCUGGAGCAUAAAUUUAUGCUCCACGUAAGGAGGCACAAUCCACCCUGUCAAACUCCAUACACUACAAAAAAUCCAAUGAUUUUAUUUAUGUGUGAAAACACAUAUCUGAUGGACAGAGUUCAUUUCGAUGUUUAUAAUCACCACACUUAAAUUUUGUUGGUGGAACUGAUUCAGUUUUAUGUGUCAUUCCUUAUAGUAAAAAUCCAUAAAGUAUGACACAUAAUUUCAAAUAGUUGCUCAUGAACCGACGCCUCCCGUGAACUUUGUUGUUUUUCUUCCUUUUUUCAAGAUGGACGACGAGCUGAAUAGCUGGAAAUUGAGCGGGUAAAUAUGAAAUAAUUGAUAUUUUCCUGAAUAUUGUUAUAUUACAGUACAUGCUUCUAUUUCAGAGCGAGUGGAAGGAUCGGACAUUGAGCAGCGUACAUCUCCAGUAAGAAUUUUUAACGUGUUGUAAAGGAACGCCUCGAGGAGCACAUACAGGAGGUACGGUGCAGUGUAGCCGGCGUGCGGCUUUGAUGCAGGGAUUUGCGGGAAUAGUUGCAAUUGAUUGGACUAACCGGCAAAUUUACGGCUGCGGAACCCCAUACGACGGUACCACGAUGCUACCAAAAUUUCCAUCACCACAAGCGGGACCCCAACACAUUUGCUGAUCUGCU